rnacentral:rRNA from 1 species
AUUGCUGCCCAGUGUCUUCUAAGUUAAACGGCCGCGGUAUUCUGACCGUGCAAAGGUAGCAUAAUCAUUUGUUCCCCAAUUAGGGACUAGUAUGAAUGGCUAGACGAGGAUUCAACUGUCUCUUAUUCCCAAUCAGUGAAAUUGACCUUCCAGUGAAGAGGCUGGAAUAAAACAAUAAGACGAGAAGACCCUAUGGAGCUUUAAUUAACUAGCCUAAUUAUAAUACUCAAACCCUAAUGGAACAAAACCAUAAACAUUAGGCUAACAAUUUUGGUUGGGGUGACCUCGGAGAACAAAAAAUCCUCCGAAUGAUUAUAGGACAGACAAACAAGUCAAAGCAAUCCGCUAUAUCUAAUUGACCCAAAAUACUUUGACCAACGGACCAAGUUACCCUAGGGAUAACAGCGCAAUCCUAUUUAAGAGUCCAUAUCGACAAUUAGGGUUUACGACCUCGAUGUUGGAUCAGGACACCCCAAUGGUGCAGAAGCUAUUAAGGUUCGUUU